CAUCGGCCUCAUCAUUUGGCAUCAUCCUCCGCCCCAAAAUAGUAUUAUUUUCUUUCAAUUGGGUAAAAAGCCGGCUUUCUGCAUUGAAUCUUACAACAACUUCUCAUCUGACACUUACAUGGUGUUGUGAGCAUGUGGGUUUCUUUAACCCAUCAAAUUGAUCUUCUGGGUUUCUUUAAUAAUCGGAAAAAGUUGAGUCUUUCCUGCGGAAAAGCUACGGUUUGUAUUUGAUGAGUUCUAAUACGGCGCCGUCGAGCUCAGGAGGCGCUGGAUCUGCCGAUUCAGCUGCUCCCAGGAGGUCCAAGCGGCCUAAAUAUUCAAGAUUUACUCAGCAGGAACUUCCAGCAUGCAAGCCAAUUCUCACGCCAAAAUGGGUAAUCUCAGCAUUCAUGCUCGUUGCAAUCGUUUGAUAAACAUUGGAGUUGCUACCCUAUUUGCUUCCCGAGAUGUUGUUGAAAUUGUUGAUCGAUAUGAAACUGAUUGCAUACCAGUGUCCUCUAGAAGUGUUAAGGUCAUAUACAUCCAGACCUCGGGAAAUAAAACAUGCAACAGAACUCUGAUGGUAAGACCUUCUUUCAUUAACAUCAAAG